UACAGAGGGUGCAAGCGUUGUUCGGAAUUAUUGGGCGUAAAGCGCGUGUAGGCGGCUUUGCAAGUCGGGUGUGAAAUCCCUCAGCUCAACUGAGGAAGUGCGCCCGAAACUGCAUGGCUCGAGUACCGGAGAGGAUGGUGGAAUUCCCCAAGUAGAGGUGAAAUUCGUAGAUAUGGGGAGGAACACCGGUGGCGAAGGCGACCAUCUGGACGGAUACUGACGCUGAGACGCGAAAGCGUGGGUAGCAAACAGG
rnacentral:rRNA from 1 species